GCUGUGCUCAAGGCUGAUGUCCUAUGUGUUGGUCAUGUCCUCUUGUAAAUAAACACAUAAAUCUCGUUGGGUUGCCUCCCUUAUGUUAUUACAAUACAUGCAUUAAAUUGUUGAACGUACACUCUAGUUGUUAGCUCAUAUUAGGGAUUCCCGAGACAAUUUUUGUAAGGUCACAACUACUGUCAUCUUCUGCAUCAAGUCUACUUCUUUAUUUAGACUUCAUGACUAAAAAGUGUUGACAUAGACUCACAACCCAUAGAGACAGAUGGAUCAUGUUGUUUACACGUUUGGAAAUGAUGAUCAGUCUACUGGAAAUUUCAAUGAUUCAGCCAACUGCAACUGAGAGAAAAUUAGGCUACAAACAAAAUGUUGCGCCACUAGCAACUGAUGAACUUCUUUAUCUUCUCCUAGUUCAUCUUUAUGCUGCAUAAACUGUUUAAAAAGCACUCUAUCUUUGACAUCUAAGAGACAAAGAGGCUUUGCAAAUCCCUUUGAAGUUUAUUGUACUCAGUGCGACAAAGUUGUUUGGUAGGAUUAGACGUCACAAAAAGCUGCAAAUGCUUUUUUUUUUCACGUCAACCCAAAAAGAAGUGUUCUUGCAUGUAAAGAGAGUGGUAUUAACUUUGCUAAAUCGUCCUCCUUUUGUGGAGGUAUAUCAAUUAAUCAGCAUUUGUACCUGAAAACAUUUUUGAAUUUAUCAAAAAAAAAAAAAAAAAAAUAAGCACUUCUUGAAGCAGCAGCAAAAAGCAUGAAUAAAGCAGCUGAUUUUGUCAAAACCAUAGUAAGUAGACCUUUUCAUGAUAGGGCUAGUUUAACAGGCAGUACUUUGAUA